CCACGCGCGUCCGAGUGGGCGGCCUCUGGAGGCGGACGGCGCGGGUGGGGAUCGCGCGGGUGCGAGCGCCUCGGCUGCAGGGCGCGCGGCCGAGCGUGAUGGCGGGGUCCCCACAUCCCCCACCCGCCCGGUGCCAGCGCUGGACCCCGCAUUUCUUUGCUCAGAAGGGCGGGGUCGCCGCGAAUCUGAGCGGCGGCGUGGGAGGGAGUGGGUCUUCGGUUCCCUAAUCCCCUCCCCAUCUCCAUCAGGGCGACCCCGAAGCCCGAGGGAAGAGAACUAGCUAAAUAAUAAAAGCCCAGUUGCUAGGCAACGGCCGCUGCCAGACAAAAGCCCAGGCUCCGGCUCCAAUCAGCGUGCGGCUCUCUCGACCCCGCCUUCUUAGGACUCGCGUGGUGCGACCUGACGCUGACACCUCUGCACCAAACCAGCUUCCGUCUGUGCCCACCGGGUGGUCUCUGCCAGGCAGAAUUGGCCAUCAAAGGAUAGGGUCUUUGCCUCGCACGGUUCGCUAAAGGGGGAGAGGAAAUUCUCAGUGGGGAAGGGCAUUUUUAUAUUAAGGGGAUCUUUACUGAAGGCUGCAAUAUGUUACUCGCUGGUGACAUCUCAAGGGCUCCAGUGGUUCUUAAUACUUGUUUACGGCUCGCGUAGGGAAAGAGACACUCAAUGCUCGCUGUGAAAACAAUACAAAGAAAUUUUACCUGGAAGCGUUGGUGCAAAAUCUCCAAUUCUGCGGCGUCGUGGACGUGCUUAGCGAUUGUGACUCAUACUCCAAGUUCUAAGGAAGGAACAAUAAAGCAUAUGCUAAGGAGAGAUGUGCAGGUAAUCAUAAUGAACUAAAGAGUUGGAGAUAGUUCAUGCCUUCCGCUGGUUGAGACCUAAACAUUCUCAUCUAUGAGCAGCAAGACUGAGACAGCAUUAGCAGAGAUUAUGGGGGAACCAUGCUUGUGUGAAGCAUUUAAGACAAGGUCCUACGGCUGGAUGUACGGCAGAUAACGUGGUGCUUCUCAGCCAACAAGCGGUUUAUAGAGUCUCUUUUCCAGGGGCAGGUGUAUUAUCCUAGAAAAAGAAUGAGGACGUGUACUGGGUUGCUAUAUGAAGAGAAUAAUUUAAUGGGGUUUUGCUCUCCGUUAUAAACUAAGAGCUGACUGGGAAUAUAGAAUAGACAGCAAUUAUACAUCUGAACCAAGAACUCCUGCUAGGACAAAAAGCAACCUCUCCCUGUCAGCAGAGGGAGCCAGAGCAUGGGCUACAGUCGCCUCCUACAGAGGGCUCUGCUCUUCCCUAGAGUUGCCACCCCCCAAGACAACUGUGACUCAGCAACAAUACCCUGUUUGGGUGUUCAAACCCAAUACACAGCGUUAGGGGCUGCGUUUGUCUGGCAGGAUUAGCUCCAAGUUGCUACAUUGUUCUAGGUGCCCUUGGAUGCAUGUCUGCAUUCUCCUGAAUCUCUAAAGAGCUGUGUUGCUAGCAACUUUUAUUAGCUUUGCUUUACUCUAGAGGGUACCAUUGGUGAAUAUUUGGUAUGGCACAGGCCUACUGUGAGAGGUAAAGUAUAAAUUUAUCAUCAAGGACUGCACAUUCCCUGAGAGGUCAAAGCUUCUUGGAACCAGGUCUGCUCAGCUCUGAUGGCAAAGGACGGAGCCGAAGCACAGUCAGGACUUUUCGUGAGAGGACUAUGCAGGGCUCACACACCGCUGCUGUGACAGGCUAACGUCAAUCCCGGAACUCCCUGCCUAAAAGGAGUUUGGAUAAGUCAGUUGAAAUGCAUUUGAGUCUCAAGAAACAGAAGGCUCAGACAGUUGCCACCACUGUGAAGACUUGCCAUCUCACAUGAAAAGUAACUUGGGACAAUGACCCGCAGGAGGCGAUGGGCCACUUCCUCUUUCAGGACAGAAACCUCACCUUGUAAUAGACAUCAAACAUCAGGUCGCUGCCUGCAGCAAGAGCUUUGUCAGCUACACACAACUGUGAGCUCCAACCACCACACGGCACGGACCUGAGCCCUCUGUUCUCUGAAGCUCUGAGUCUUUGACCAUUGAUGUCUUAUUGCCCCAGACGGCUUCAUCUGCUCUCACUGUUUCAAGCCCUUCCCACACAGUCUGUGGCUGCCUCCUGUGUGCACAGGAGGUUAGACACACAGCCAGACAUGCACCCCAUGGGGGAAACUCCAGCUCUGAUGCUCUGAGCUAGGUGAUCUCAGGCCAAAAUUUUAAAUUCUAUCAGCAAAGCAAUUGAUUCUUCUGUAAAAGAGUAAACGCAAGUUUAUUAAUGAUAACAGGGCUUACUUUAUUGUGUUUUUGUCGCUGUUUUGGUCGUUUUCGUAUAUGAUGGGAUGGGUUGCGUUGCCACAUCUUUCA
rnacentral:lncRNA from 1 species